GAGCAGGAUCUGUACUGGGAUGAGGCUCGACCUCAGCCACCCUAUACGGUGGCCACAGCUGCUGAGUCACAACGUCCUUCCUUCAUGGGUUCCACUUUCAACCUGCGCAUGAGUGAUGACCCGGAGCAGUGCCUGCAGGUGGAGGCAUCUCGGAGGUUCGACCUGCCAGCGCCCGUCACACAGACCUCGCAGACCCCGCUGCUGGGCCGCUUCCUGGCUGCAAGAGCGCCCUCACCUGCUGUAAGCCUGCAGAACCUCAGGACCUCACACCUGCUGCACCUGCGACCUGGCGGUGAGGAGGCUGAGGGCCGCAUUGAAGAGGCUGUGGAUGAAGGAUCUGAGAAUGAAGCCAUGGAACCCUGAGAAUCCUCUCCGCGGGUGGCUCAGCCCCUCUUCCCCAGCUUCACUGGGUCUUAACAUACACAGCUAACAACAACUUUU
rnacentral:lncRNA from 1 species